AUCCGGCCGACAAGUCCCAAAUAAGACUAAACGUACGUACUGGAU
rfam:Schistosoma rodhaini strain Burundi genome assembly, scaffold: SROB_scaffold0009886